CGGCGUGCUAUACAUGCAGUCGAGCGGACAGAUGGGAGCUUGCUCCCUGAUGUUAGCGGCGGACGGGUGAGUAACACGUGGGUAACCUGCCUGUAAGACUGGGAUAACUCCGGGAAACCGGGGCUAAUACCGGAUGGUUGUUUGAACCGCAUGGUUCAGACAUAAAAGGUGGCUUCGGCUACCACUUACAGAUGGACCCGCGGCGCAUUAGCUAGUUGGUGAGGUAACGGCUCACCAAGGCAACGAUGCGUAGCCGACCUGAGAGGGUGAUCGGCCACACUGGGACUGAGACACGGCCCAGACUCCUACGGGAGGCAGCAGUAGGGAAUCUUCCGCAAUGGACGAAAGUCUGACGGAGCAACGCCGCGUGAGUGAUGAAGGUUUUCGGAUCGUAAAGCUCUGUUGUUAGGGAAGAACAAGUGCCGUUCAAAUAGGGCGGCACCUUGACGGUACCUAACCAGAAAGCCACGGCUAACUACGUGCCAGCAGCCGCGGUAAUACGUAGGUGGCAAGCGUUGUCCGGAAUUAUUGGGCGUAAAGGGCUCGCAGGCGGUUUCUUAAGUCUGAUGUGAAAGCCCCCGGCUCAACCGGGGAGGGUCAUUGGAAACUGGGGAACUUGAGUGCAGAAGAGGAGAGUGGAAUUCCACGUGUAGCGGUGAAAUGCGUAGAGAUGUGGAGGAACACCAGUGGCGAAGGCGACUCUCUGGUCUGUAACUGACGCUGAGGAGCGAAAGCGUGGGGAGCGAACAGGAUUAGAUACCCUGGUAGUCCACGCCGUAAACGAUGAGUGCUAAGUGUUAGGGGGUUUCCGCCCCUUAGUGCUGCAGCUAACGCAUUAAGCACUCCGCCUGGGGAGUACGGUCGCAAGACUGAAACUCAAAGGAAUUGACGGGGGCCCGCACAGCGGUGAGCAUGUGGUUUAUCGAGCACGCGAGAACUUACCAGGUCUG
rnacentral:rRNA from 1 species